GAUGAACGCUAGCGAUAGGCUUAACACAUGCAAGUCGAGGGGCAGCAUGAUCUUAGCUUGCUAAGGUCGAUGGCGACCGGCGCACGGGUGCGUAACGCGUAUGCAACUUGCCUUACAGAGGGGGAUAACCCGUUGAAAGACGGACUAAAACCGCAUACACUUGUAUUAUUGCAUGAUAUUACAAGGAAAUAUUUAUAGCUGUAAGAUAGGCAUGCGUCCCAUUAGCUGGUUGGUGAGGUAACGGCUCACCAAGGCGACGAUGGGUAGGGGAACUGAGAGGUUUAUCCCCCACACUGGUACUGAGACACGGACCAGACUCCUACGGGAGGCAGCAGUGAGGAAUAUUGGUCAAUGGGCGAGAGCCUGAACCAGCCAAGUCGCGUGAAGGAAGACAGUCCUAAGGAUUGUAAACUUCUUUUAUACGGGAAUAAA
rnacentral:rRNA from 1 species